CCGUGCUAGACGGGGAGCUAGCGGUGCCCUGUAACCCACAACCCGCUCCAGUGGGGUCGAAGACCUGGCUGAGGCCGGUCUUUUUCUGGCCUGUGUCCGGGUAAGUGGCGAUGAGGGUUGGGGCCCCGGGCAAAGAGCCUCCUGUAAACCCCGCCAGGACCGGAAGGGAGCAACGGUAGCAGGCAGGCCUCUUGUGCCCGGUCAGCCUUGCCUGAGCAAACUGUCUGGAUAACGCAGGGGAAGGUCGGUCGAAGCAGGUUGCACGG
rnacentral:SRP_RNA from 1 species